rnacentral:rRNA from 1 species
AGUGAACGCUGGCGGCAGGCCUAACACAUGCAAGUCGAACGGAAACGACAAGAACAAACUCUUCGGAGGGCGAUCUUGGGCGUCGAGUGGCGGACGGGUGAGUAACGCGUGGGAAUCUACCCUUUAGUUGGGGACAACAUAUGGAAACGUAUGCUAAUACCGAAUAUGCUCUACGGAGUAAAGGUGGCCUCUACUUGUAAGCUAUCGCUAAAGGAUGAGCCCGCGUUAGAUUAGCUAGUUGGUGGGGUAAAGGCCUACCAAGGCGACGAUCUAUAGCUGGUUUGAGAGGAUGAUCAGCCACACUGGGACUGAGACACGGCCCAGACUCCUACGGGAGGCAGCAGUGGGGAAUAUUGCACAAUGAGGGAAACCUUGAUGCAGCCAUGCCGCGUGUGUGAAGAAGGCCCGAGGGUUGUAAAGCACUUUCAAUUGUGAGGAAAGGUUAGUCGCUAAUAUCGGCUAGCUGUGACGUUAACUUUAGAAGAAGCACCGGCUAACUCUGUGCCAGCAGCCGCGGUAAUACAGAGGGUGCAAGCGUUAUUCGGAAUUACUGGGCGUAAAGCGCGCGUAGGCGGACUGUUAAGUCGGUUGUGAAAGCCCUGGGCUCAACCUAGGAAUUGCAUCCGAUACUGGCAAUCUAGAGUUUAGGAGAGGGAAGUGGAAUUCCCGGUGUAGCAGUGAAAUGCGUAGAUAUCAGGAGGAACAUCAGUGGCGAAGGCGACUUCCUGGCCUAAAACUGACGCUGAGGUGCGAAAGCGUGGGUAGCGAACGGGAUUAGAUACCCCGGUAGUCCACGCCGUAAACGAUGUCAACUAGCUGUUGGCCUUAUUAAAAAGGUUAGUAGCGUAGCUAACGCGCUAAGUUGACCGCCUGGGGAGUACGGUCGCAAGAUUAAAACUCAAAGGAAUUGACGG